AGCUACUUUACUUCUAUGAUUCAUAAUUUCUUCAUCUAUAAAAUUAGAAUAAAACUGUCUCAUCUUGACGACCUCAUAGAUCAUUGUGGGGGUGAAACAGUAGAAGGGAAGUGGAAGCACUCUGUAACCCUCAAGAGCAGACUGCAACAAGACCUUGAUUCCAAGGCACAUGAGGUGGCCCUGGGAGGAGCUGUCCUGUCAUAGCUGCCCUGUGUAGGGCCCCCUGAGACUACUUUUGGUUUGGGGGUUUACCCAGAUAUCUAGAGCUCAGAGCUGGGCUUAGCUCAAUGUCACAGCUUCUGGGAUGCAAAAAUGUAGAAUAGAAAAUAGCACAGAGGAGGCUUGGGUACCCCAGGUCUAUGUCUGCACCAGUAGAAACCACCAACCCCACCCCAAAGGAUGGGAAAGUCGAGUGUCUUUAGGCAGGGUUGACGCUAGCCUCCCUCCCUGCUGGUGUUCUGUUCCUGUAUCUCAGAGCAUGCUUAUUCUCUGGGCCUAAACUCCAUCCCUCCUGCUUUAACAUAUAAUCAUUUCAUACUUGAUCAGAGGACACAAUAAUUACAAGCUUUUUCUGAAAUCUCUUCAUUCAACUCCUUUAAUGGGGCACAAGUCAGGAGUGAUGAAAGAAAGGUCCAAAGUGUUCAUUGUCACCCAUGGAGCAAGGACAGUCCAUAUUCUUCACUACUCUGCAUAAUCCUCCUCUUUGUCCCUAUCCUCAGUUCCAGUCCCUGACUGAAUGGCUAAUGGCUUUCUCCCACUGCAAAAAAAAAAAAAAAAAAGCCAUCUGGUCACUUCAUGCGGGCCACCACACUUCUAACGCCCCCAAUCUCACAUACUCCAACCCCUUGCUGCCCUCUGCUGGCACAGGUGUGCCUUGAGCCAAGCUUGGGUGAGAGUGGUU
rnacentral:lncRNA from 1 species